GAAAUGCGAUAAGUAAUGUGAAUUGCAGAAUUCAGUGAAUCAUCGAAUCUUUGAACGCACCUUGCGCCCUUUGGCCAUUCCGAAGGGCAUGCCUGUUUGAGUAUCAUGAACACCUCAACUCAUUGUGGUUUUCCACGAUGAGCUUGGACUUUGGAGGUUUUGCUGGCCUACGGUCGGCUCCUCUAAAACGAAUCAGCUUACCAGUGUUUGGUGGGUAUCAUGGGUGUGAUAACUAUCUACGCUUAUGGUUUUUCCACCAGGUAACCUUCAUCAGUGGAGGUUCACUGAAGCUCAUAGAUGUCUCUCCUUAGUGAGGACAGCCCUUUGAAUGUUUGAUCUCAAAUCAGGUAGGACUACCCGCUGAACUUAA
rnacentral:misc_RNA from 1 species